CAGUUCGGGGGUUUGAACUCACAACCUUCCGGUUACUAGUCCAACGCUCUAACCACCUACCCUGCCGCCCCAACUUGUAGGUCCUACAAGUUGCCCACUGGUGAAGCCCAAACAAGACUAGUUAAAGGUGAAGACCUGAAUUCGGAAAAGAUGCUUGCUUCUGUCUCCGGAGCCUGACCAGAAGACCGCUUCGUUUGCCCCUUUUAUGGCGCCGCUGUUUUGGGUCACCGGCUGGGAUCCGAUCCAUUGUCCUGGGUGGAAGGCAAAACACAGGAUCCGCUUCUGGAAAGUCAUAUUCCUGGUCGUAAUGAUGAAAGGUAAGGUAUCCAUGAAGAUUUUGUCUACGAUGGGCGGUGGGGGAACCAGGUCCUCCAGCUUCAGGUAGAAGAUGCGCUGCAGGCCCUGGGUGCAGAGGGUGCGCAGCUCAGGGAGCUUCCCCAGUAGUCGGGACAGGAAGUUGGGCUGGGGCCUCCCCGCAUCGGAGCCACUGCUGGUCACAUGGUCCCUCAGACAGGUGAUGAGGCAGUUCUGGAACUCCUCCACCCGUUUGGGCUCUUUAAGGCCAUGGCGAUCUGAGGAGAAACCACAAGGAGAAACAUCUUGAUGAGAAACGUGAAUGGGCAUUUCACUGUACCAUUUACAACUGCUGUGCAUUGCUGCAAGGCAGGCGAAUGAGGACACGUCCAGGUUCAUGCGGUGGAGGCUCUGGGAGAAGUCCAUGAUGGAGUCGAUCCAGUCGCCAAAGCCUCGCACACACUGCAUACGGUGAAGCACCACGCCGUUGCAGAAGAUCAGCUUGUCUUUCUCAGGACUCGACCUAGACACAGAACAGUCUUAACAUAUAUUGUAGAAACAUUGGGCACACAUUUGUGUUUUUUACAGAGUAAAUGUAUGCAUCCCAAAUGGCACUAUUCCCUAUUUACUGCAAUACUUUUGACCAGGGCCCAUAGGGAACAAGGUGCCAUUUGGGAUGCAGACAAUGGUUACAGUGGUAAUUAUACCUGUAUGCUAGCCGGAGGAUAAAGAGUUCCACGAAAGCAGAUUCCAGGAGCAGCUCCUGGUCUUCCGGGCAGAAGGCGAUGAAUUCUGGGAUGGUCUCGGCCCAUUUCCGAAUCACAUCCAUGGUGCCUGUCAGCAGGUCGUAGAACUGCUGGAUGUCAUUGGCAUCCUCUUUCUCUGAUAGGCUGGCCACCGUCUCCUGGUACUGAGGAGUGGAUAGAAGAAAGAAAGGGAUGACUCACUGCCUCUGAUGUCCUUCUCUUCACAACAUGUAGUGUGAAAUGGGAUCGAGAUUACUGCCAUCAAAGAAGCUUAAUUACAUAACUAUAUUAUAGCAAGAAGCUUAACUUUAACAGCAGCAACUGGCUAAAUUCUGAGAGAGAUUCAGACAACUAAUAAUAUGAUGUUCCAUGAGUCACAUGUCUGGAGGUCCUACCUUGGAGUAGUCCAGCUUUCCGAUGGCAGGGUUGGAGUCUAUGUGAGCCCUGACAAGAGAGGCGAUGAUGUUGACGGGUGGGGUGGUGGACACUGACUCUAGCACUGUCUUGGAUUUAGAGGGCAGACGACCCCUGCGACCUUUCAGGCUGUCUGUGCGGACGACUGUAAGUGAGAGAAAAAAAUAAUACUCUCACUGACUGUACCCGUCUGAGAUUCUCAUGUGACUGUCACCGCAAGCCUCCGUUUCACUGAAUAACGGCUAUAUCCAUUUCAGUUGAUAUUUUUAUACGACUGGGCACAGUAAACUUGCCUAGUUAAAUAAAGGUUAAAUCAAAUAAAAAAGCUUCAGUUUCGCAUGGCUUUCAUUCUUAGCUUGGGUUUCACAUGAUUGUCAUUGCAACUUGGUUUUCACGUCACAUAUACUAGACACUGAAGGCUUUAAGGGAGUGUGACAUGGCAUUACCUUCCUUCACCAUUCCCACUCGCAGGCACUUCUGGAAACGGCAGAAUUGGCAGCGGUUCCUUCGCCGCUUGUCUACUGGACAGUCUUUGUUGGCUAGGCACACAUAUUUAGCAUUCUUCUGUACAGUUCGCUGCAAUAACAAAGAACAGUGUGAUUAUUUUCCUGCGCAUUUGUCAAAGUUCACCUUUUUCUUUUAUUAUCAGUUUCUUAAUAGUGAGCACUUAUACUGAAACUGGAGCCAAGUAAAUGUAUGAAUAUUAAAGAUGUUAUUAUGUGUAAAUGAAUCAUAAGUCGCUCU